CUCUUCUUGGAUGAGUUGCGAACGGGUGAGUAACGCGUAGGUAACCUGCCUUGUAGCGGGGGAUAACUAUUGGAAACGAUAGCUAAUACCGCAUAACAAUGGAUGACACAUGUCAUUUAUUUGAAAGGGGCAAUUGCUCCACUACAAGAUGGACCUGCGUUGUAUUAGCUAGUAGGUGAGGUAACGGCUCACCUAGGCGACGAUACAUAGCCGACCUGAGAGGGUGAUCGGCCACACUGGGACUGAGACACGGCCCAGACUCCUACGGGAGGCAGCAGUAGGGAAUCUUCGGCAAUGGGGGCAACCCUGACCGAGCAACGCCGCGUGAGUGAAGAAGGUUUUCGGAUCGUAAAGCUCUGUUGUAAGUCAAGAACGAGUGUGAGAGUGGAAAGUUCACACUGUGACGGUAGCUUACCAGAAAGGGACGGCUAACUACGUGCCAGCAGCCGCGGUAAUACGUAGGUCCCGAGCGUUGUCCGGAUUUAUUGGGCGUAAAGCGAGCGCAGGCGGUUUGAUAAGUCUGAAGUUAAAGGCUGUGGCUCAACCAUAGUUCGCUUUGGAAACUGUCAAACUUGAGUGCAGAAGGGGAGAGUGGAAUUCCAUGUGUAGCGGUGAAAUGCGUAGAUAUAUGGAGGAACACCGGUGGCGAAAGCGGCUCUCUGGUCUGUAACUGACGCUGAGGCUCGAAAGCGUGGGGAGCGAACAGGAUUAGAUACCCUGGUAGUCCACGCCGUAAACGAUGAGUGCUAGGUGUUGGAUCCUUUCCGGGAUUCAGUGCCGCAGCUAACGCAUUAAGCACUCCGCCUGGGGAGUACGACCGCAAGGUUGAAACUCAAAGGAAUUGACGGGGGCCCGCACAAGCGGUGGAGCAUGUGGUUUAAUUCGAAGCAACGCGAAGAACCUUACCAGGUCUUGACAUCCCGAUGCUAUUUCUAGAGAUAGAAAGUUACUUCGGUACAUCGGUGACAGGUGGUGCAUGGUUGUCGUCAGCUCGUGUCGUGAGAUGUUGGGUUAAGUCCCGCAACGAGCGCAACCCCUAUUGUUAGUUGCCAUCAUUCAGUUGGGCACUCUAGCGAGACUGCCGGUAAUAAACCGGAGGAAGGUGGGGAUGACGUCAAAUCAUCAUGCCCCUUAUGACCUGGGCUACACACGUGCUACAAUGGUUGGUACAACGAGUUGCGAGUCGGUGACGGCAAGCUAAUCUCUUAAAGCCAAUCUCAGUUCGGAUUGUAGGCUGCAACUCGCCUACAUGAAGUCGGAAUCGCUAGUAAUCGCGGAUCAGCACGCCGCGGUGAAUACGUUCCCGGGCCUUGUACACACCGCCCGUCACACCACGAGAGUUUGUAACACCCGAAGUCGGUGAGGUAACCUUUUGGAGCCA
rnacentral:rRNA from 1 species